UCACACUGACAGCGUCGUGAAGAAGGCGCAGCAGCGCCUCUUCAACCUCAGGAGGCUGAAGAAAUUCGGCUUGUCACCAAAAGCACUCACGAACUUCUACAGAUGCACAAUCGAGAGCAUCCUGGCGGGCUGUAUCACCGCCUGGUACGGCAACUGCUCCGCCCUCAACCGUAAGGCUCUCCAGAGGGUAGUGAGGUCUGCACAACGCAUCACCGGGGGCAAACUACCUGCCCUCCAGGACACCUACACCACCCGAUGUUACAGGAAGGCCAUAAAGAUCAUCAAGGACAUCAACCACCCGAACCACUGCCUGUUCACCCCGCUAUCAUCCAGAAGGCGAGGUCAGUACAGGUGCAUCAAAGCUGGGACUGAGAGACUGAAAAACAGCUUCUAUCUCAAGGCUAUCAGACUGUUAAACAGCCACCAUUGAGUGGCUGCUGCCAACACACUGUCAUUGACACUGACCCAACUCCAGCCACUUUAAUAAUGGGAAUUGAUGGGAAAUGAUGUAAAUAUAUCACUAGCCACUUUAAACAAUGCUACCUUAUAUAAUGUUACUUACCCUACAUUAUUCAUCUCAUAUGCAUACGUAUAUACUGUACUCUACAUCAUCGACUGCAUCCUUAUGUAAUACAUGUAUCACUAGCCACUUUAACUAUGCCACUUUGUUUACUUUGUCUACAUACUCAUCUCAUAUGUAUAUACUGUACUCGAUACCAUCUACUGUAUGCUGCUCUGUACCAUCACUCACUCAUAUAUCCUUAUGUACAUAUUCUUUAUCCCCUAACACUGUGUAUAAGACAGUAGUUUUAGAAUUGUUAGUUAGAUUACUUGUUGGUUAUCACUGCAUUGUCGGAACUAGAAGCACAAGCAUUUCGCUACACUCGCAUUAACAUCUGCUAACCAUGUGUAUGUGACAAAUAAAAUUUGAUUUGAUUUGAUUUGACUCCUUGCUGUCCCCAGUCCACCUGGCCAUGCUGCUGUUCCAGUUUCAACUUCCACCUGACUGUGCUGCUGCUCCAGUUUCAACUGUUCUGCCUUAUUAUUAUUCGACCAUGCUGGUCAUUUAUGAACAUUUGAACAUCUUGGCCAUGUUCUGUUAUAAUCUCCACCCGGCACAGCCAGAAGAGGACUGGCCACCCCACAUAGCCUGGUUCCUCUCUAGGUUUCUUCCUAGGUUUUGGCCUUUCUAGGGAGUUUUUCCUAGCCACCGUGCUUCUACACCUGCAUUGCUUGCUGUUUGGGGUUUUAGGCUGGGUUUCUGUACAGCACUUUGAGAUAUCAGCUGAUGUACGAAGGGCUAUAUAAAUAAAUUUGAUUUGAUUUGAUUUGAUUUCCUGAGCGGCCUGGUCAGAAGUCUCCAGGCAUCCCUGAACAAAAUAUUUCUUGGAAUCUUCAUCAAUGUGAAAAUGGCCAGGACACAAGAUGGAAUCACUGCCCCCUUUUCAGAUCCAGUCUACCUCAAAGCAGCUACCUUGGAUCCGGCUUUUUCUCUGAUGUGGGAGGAGCACCAUGUGCUGGUCAAGGAGAAGGUGGCACAAAGAGUGAAAGAACUGAUUCUGCGUGAUGCAACAGGGACUGAGCAAGCUGUGCCUCUUGUUGAUGAGGAAGAGCGAGAGGACCAUAGACUUGGACAAGAAGAAGGGCUGUUUGCAGCAUACUGUAAGAGACAGAAGAAAGCUGUUGGGAUCCCUCCAGCACUACAGCUAAGUCACUACCUUGACAUAUGCGAAGGACAGAAUGCCCUCUUGUUCUGGGCAAUGAACAGGAAGGCUCUUCCUUCACUGUGCCGAGUGGCCAUCAGGGUCUUGGCAGAGCCUCCAGUGCUCUGGUGGAGCGUGUCUUCAGCCAUGGUGGCAUCAUACCGCGACCUCAUCGUGCACAAAUGACUGACAGACUUUUAUCGAAUUCGGUCUUUGCAAAUGCAAUGCAGCAUAGGGCCCUGAGAUAAGAGAAAAAAUGAAACUGUUUAUGCAUUACACGUAGUCUCCAUGUUCAGGUUUUAUCUCCCAUCUUUGGAAUCUGUAUUUUUUCUCAGACAUUCAGUGUUCAAAUUAUAGACCUCAGUUCAGUUGUUUAGAUGUACCUUUAAAUAAAUGAUUGUAACUUUAUGGCAGGAUUGUUUUAGGUGAGAGAGAGAGUACUACAAUAUGUUGUUUUUGUUGUCAUAUUGAUGUGUCUGUCUCAUGGUUACCCAUGUAUUUCUAUGGAAAUAUAAAUUUUAUUUGGAAAGUAAUAAAUAUAUUUUUAAAGCA